rnacentral:rRNA from 1 species
AGCAGUGGGGAAUUUUCCGCAAUGGGCGAAAGCCUGACGGAGCAAUACCGCGUGAGGGAGGAAGGCUCUUGGGUUGUAAACCUCUUUUCUCAGGGAAGAACACAAUGACGGUACCUGAGGAAUCAGCAUCGGCUAACUCCGUGCCAGCAGCCGCGGUAAUACGGAGGAUGCAAGCGUUAUCCGGAAUGAUUGGGCGUAAAGCGUCCGCAGGUGGCUGUGUAAGUCUGCUGUUAAAGAGUCUAGCUCAACUAGAUAAAGGCAGUGGAAACUACACGGCUAGAGUGCGUUCGGGGCAGAGGGAAUUCCUGGUGUAGCGGUGAAAUGCGUAGAGAUCAGGAAGAACACCGGUGGCGAAGGCGCUCUGCUAGGCCGCAACUGACACUGAGGGACGAAAGCUAGGGGAGCG